rnacentral:rRNA from 1 species
GUGAGGAAUCUUCCACAAUGGGCGAAAGCCUGAUGGAGCAACGCCGCGUGAAGGAUGAAGGUCUUCGGAUUGUAAACUUCUUUUAUGAGUGAAGAAUAUGACGGUAACUCAUGAAUAAGCACCGGCUAACUACGUGCCAGCAGCCGCGGUCAUACGUAGGGUGCAAGCAUUAUCCGGAGUGACUGGGCGUAAAGAGUUGCGUAGGCGGUUAUGUAAGCGAAUAGUGAAACCUGGUGGCUCAACCACACAGACUAUUAUUCGAACUGCAUAACUCGAGAAUGGUAGAGGUAACUGGAAUUUCUUGUGUAGGAGUGAAAUCCGUAGAUAUAAGAAGGAACACCAACGGCGUAGGCAGGUUACUGGGCCAUUUCUGACGCUAAGGCACGAAAGCGUGGGGAGCGAACCGGAUUAGAUACCCGUGUAGUCC